CAGACACAAACAGAAACAGAUAUUGACUCUGCCUUUGGAGGCCCAUCUCAAGAUUGUGGUAGGAAAGACAAAGAGCGGAGCAGGAGGGAAGAGCAUGAACAACAUGG